rnacentral:rRNA from 2 species
AUGGUUAAGCUACUAAGAGCACACGGAGGAUGCCUAGGCGCUAGGAGCCGAUGAAGGACGUGGCGAACAACGAAACUGCCUCGGGGAGCUGUAAGCAAGCUUUGAUCCGGGGGUGUCCGAAUGGGGAAACCCAGCUGGGGUAAUUUCCAGUUACUCACAACUGAAUACAUAGGUUGUGCAGAGGCAUACCAAGGGAACUGAAACAUCUAAGUACCUUGAGGAAGAGAAAACAAUAGUGAUUCCGUCAGUAGCGGCGAGCGAACGCGGAGAAGCCCAAACCAGAGAGCUUGCUCUUUGGGGUUGUGGGACGUCUCACAUGGAGUUACAAAGGAACCGGUUAAGUGAAGAGGUCUGGAAAGGCCCGCCAAAGAAGGUAAAAGCCCUGUAGUUGAAAGU